GAAAGAAAGAUUUAUACCCGAUGUCAUAGUCCUACCGCAUGAUGGGAUUAUUAAAGAAUUUCGGUAUGGGAUGGGGAUGCGUUCCAUUAGUUAGUUGGCGGGGUAACGGCCCACCAAGACAACGAUGGAUAGGGGUUCUGAGAGGAAGGUCCCCCACAUUGGAACUGAGACACGGUCCAAACUCCUACGGGAGGCAGCAGUGAGGAAUAUUGGUCAAUGGACGAGAGUCUGAACCAGCCAAGUAGCGUGAAGGAUGACUGCCCUAUGGGUUGUAAACUUCUUUUAUAUGGGAAUAAAACGUUCCACGUGUGGGAUUUUGUAUGUACCAUAUGAAUAAGGAUCGGCUAACUCCGUGCCAGCAGCCGCGGUAAUACGGAGGAUCCGAGCGUUAUCCGGAUUUAUUGGGUUUAAAGGGAGCGUAGGUGGAUUGUUAAGUCAGUUGUGAAAGUUUGCGGCUCAACCGUAAAAUUGCAGUUGAAACUGGCAGUCUUGAGUACAGUAGAGGUGGGCGGAAUUCGUGGUGUAGCGGUGAAAUGCUUAGAUAUCACGAAGAACUCCGAUUGCGAAGGCAGCUCACUGGACUGCAACUGACACUGAGGCUCGAAAGUGUGGGUAUCGAACAGGAUUAGAUACCCUGGUAGUCCACACAGUAAACGAU
rnacentral:rRNA from 1 species